rnacentral:rRNA from 1 species
AGUGAACGCUGGCGGCGUGCUUAACACAUGCAAGUCGAACGAAAACGGGCUAUAGCUUGCUAUAGUUGUCAGCUAAGUGGCGCACUGGUGAGUAAUGUAUAGGUAAUAUGCCUCUUACUAAGGGAUAACAAAUGGAAACGUUUGCUAAUACCUUAUACUCCUUAUUAACAGAAGUUAAUAAGGGAAAGAUUUAUUGGUAAGAGAUUAGCCUGUAUUGUAUCAGUUAGUUGGUGGGGUAAUGGCUUACCAAGACUAUGACACAUAACUGGUUUGAGGGGAGGAGCAGCCAAACUGGAACAGGGACACGUACAGGACUCGUACGGGAGGAAGCAGGGGGGAAUAUUGCACAAUGAACGAAAGUCUGAUGCAGCAACGCCGCGUGGAGGAUGACACAUUUCGGUUCGUAAACUCCUUUUAUAUGAGAAGAUAAUGACGGUAUUAUAUGAAUAAGCCCCGGUUAACUCCGUGCCAGCCGCCGCCGUAA